GCUCUGCCCCUGCACCAGGCACUGCCCCCCCGCCGGGCACUGUUCCCUCAUGUCACCGUUUGACUCAGUUUGACAACAGUGCUCUCGAUCCCCUCCCCCUCCCACCCAGGUAGGGAAGGAGAGAGAGAAAAAAAGAGAGAGACUUGGCUGGAUUGAAAACGGAACCGCACAGCUUUAAUUAGAAUACUAAUGGUGUUAUGAGAAUAUAUAUAUAUGAUUAUACAGAGGUGUGGGUGAAAGCCUCUCGCCUCCCCCCACCCCCAGCAACUCCCACAGCAAUCCCCUCAGACGAGACAAUUCCGAGGAAUCCCGGAGCUGCUGCUGGAGAAAGGCAGAGAGUUACGAGGAUGAGGAGGGCUUGAGGUCGAUGGGUUGACGAUGAUGGACAGAUGGUGUCCUCCCCGGAUGCUGGCCGUGAACGGAAGAGAGAGAGAGAAGAAGGAAAGGAGAGAGAGAGAGAAAAAGGAAGGGAGAGAGAGAGAAGAAGGAAGCGAGAGAGGCAGGAAUAAAGGAAGUUGUCUUCUGUCAUCUCCGACCUUCCCCCGAGCCUACGUAGAUAUAUGGCAUGGAGUACCUCUGGCCCAAUUUGCUGUCCAUCUAACCCAGCCUCCCACGGGGGGGCCACAGAUCCCCCCGCAGUGUCUGAGCCGGCAGAGCAAAGGCACGACCUUGAGGGCCCAGCAAUUAUAAAAACAUUCCAGUGUCUUAUCAACCUCGCAGAACACGCAGUUGCUACUUGAAGAAAGCUCACUGAAAAGAAAAAAAAAAAUCAGCAAAAGAAAAACUGGCUUUAUCCUGGUUCAAACAGGACACCUCAUCAAGCUUUGCCCCUUCUGCUGAGCGUUUACCUCCCGCUGAGCGCUGCGACUGCAGGAAGCGGAGGGGGGAGCGGCACAGGUCGCUGGGAGGGGGCUUCAAAGUGGAGCAGCCCAGGGUUUGUGAGUGGGGGGGCAUCGUCAGCUGGUAUUUCCUCCUAUCAUAGGAUGGUUUGGGUGGGAAGGGACUUUAACGAUCAUCUAGUUCCAACCCCCCUGUGCAUUCACCUGGAUUUGUUUUAGAUUUAUUUUCCGUUGGAGCAUGGUCACGUUGCUCCGUCCCCAUUUUAUGUAGGAAAGAAAAUUCUUAUUAGUUAAGUACAAUUAAUUAAUCCCAGUUUAAAUGUGUGAUGUUAUUAUCAAGAAGUCUUAGGUAUUGAAAAUUUAAUAAGCAGUAAUAAUUAAUGUAAAUACUUCUUUAAAUUGUCAAUAUUUCACAUUUCCCUUGCUCCCCCUCCUUUAUCUCUGUUCUCCCACUUCCUUUUUUUAUUUUUUUUUUCUUUUAAUUUUUUUUUCCCCUCUUCCUGUGCUGUUGCUGCUGCUGCUUUUUUCAGGAAAUUAUUCCAAAUUGUUCCCAGCAUUGUGGUCCAGCAAGUUCAGGCUAUGGUUUCACAAAUUGCCUGUGGGUGUUACAUGUUUAGUUGCUCUUACCUUCACAGAUACAAAAUCUGAUGGUAAAUGGGAUUCAGUCUUGCAUUAUGUAACCUUUUUUAAUAAGUUACCUCUGUAAAAGCUAAAUUAUUAGGCUACUGUUACACAGAUUUCUGAUUUGUACAACAGAAAUAAGUUAAUCCAUAAUUUUGAGAUAGAAAUUGUCCAACAAACUGGAGCCUAUUGUCUAUGAUUUGGAAAUACAGCUUCAGAUGUCCUGUGUUGGUUUGCUCUCAUAGAAUUGGUUUAUUGAACCAAAACCUUGUAAGCCAUUUGAAAAACAUUGCACUCUAAAGUGAUUUCGAUGAUGAAAAGGAAUAUUUCACAUUUUGUCCCCCAGAAGAACUUUUUUUUCAGAUUGGUAGCACUUGAAGAUAUGACCUUUUUCUAAGCUGUACUUUGCAGGAAGAUGUGCUAGCUUCAAAUUUAUCUAAAAUAAUAACUACUUUAGACUUGCGCUUGAUUAAACCAGACAAAAAUAAAGACGGCUCCCACAGUCUGCUAUUUCUAACAGAGCAGUAAAAUGGCUUGCGGGGAGAGGUCUAAUGUUUAAGUUGUUGUUCUGUUUUUUUUUUUAGUAGGGAACAGCCAAAACUGCUUCAGAUUCUCCUUGGGAAUCUGUAAUUUUGAGACUUAACCACAGGUUGACUGAGAUGUAAUUGGCAGUACUCCAUGUGCCUAGUUUUGAAAUUUUCUCUUUACAACAGAAAUUAUCAAAUCUAUUAUUUUGACAUUUAAGUUAUCAAACAAAAAACAUUGUUUAUUUGCUUCCAUAGAAUUGAUUUAUUGAACCAAAAUCUCAUAAGCCAUUUGAAAAUUAUCACGCUAUAUAGUGAUUUCUAUUGUUCUGGAUCAUCUUAUCAAUAUGAAAUUAAAAAGUCAAGUCUAUGAUUUUGGAGAGGCAGUCUGUUACAGAAGCCAGUGUUUUCUACCUUAUAAUCUGAAUGAGGGGGAAAAAAUGCAGAUGUCUUCCUCUCCUUGACUUCCGAGGAAACUAUGAGUUGGCUUCACAGCCCUGGAAUAUCAUCAUGCUUGAUGUUAUAGAUAACCGAGAUAAGUUGUGGGGGGUGCUCCCUCCCGUCCCCUUUGUCUGUCUUGGAGGCCUGCUUCUAGGGACAGGCUGUGGACUGCCUGGGACAUAUUUUUGUCUUAAUUCUUGCCAUUGCACUGCUAUGUAAGCUCUGGUUUUAUGCUGCAUGUCUCCUUGUUCCCUUUAUGUCCUUUUCCCCCCACAAUUUUUCUUAUUUCAAUGAAUAACCAAAAUCAAUAUGUUUCAAAUGGGUAUUUUUGGUAAACAAUAGAUUUUCAGGAAAUUUGGGGCAAAACAUGUCCCCCUGUUUAAGUGUUCUGCUACAUAUGUCCAGUGGCAGGGCUGCUGUUGCCUCCUCUCGAUCCUGCCACAGGAGGUUCAGCUGCCACCGCUUCAGCAUCAUCGGCCUUUUCUCUGCCACCCAAGUACCUGCUGUGGUCUGCAAGUACCAGGUGCUGAACAGGAACCUGGUGGUUGCCAGAUUAAUGUAGAUGCCCAUCUGCAGAGUUUUCUUUAAACAAGGAUGGAUUGAGAUCUCUGGCCCCCUGAAAGCUAAUCCUGCUUUUGUGGAUGAGUAUGAGAAGAUUGAGGAGCAGCUGCAGAAACACUACAGCACUUAGCUGGAAAAAUUCCAGAAUCUGACCUACAUGGAGCAGCUCCUGGAUGAUCAGCGACAGACAGAGCAAGAGAUGUUUGAGCUCCCGCAGCGUCUCCUGAGCUGUGAGCAGCCCCAAAAGUCCUGGAGGUGCCGGAGAGAGGGCAGAGCAGCCAGGAGCUGAGGGGAGAGUGAUGAGAGGCUGGGAUGCACGGGCCUGGGGAUCAACGGGCAUGGAUGGAUGGACGGACAGAGUCAUCCCUGGAUGCCAGCCACAGAUGGGAGAGAAGGGGAGAAGAAGCAGGAAGGGGCUUGACUUCCACGACCCCCUCACGCAGAUCUAUGGAAUGGAAUACUUUGGUCAAUCUGCUGCCUGUCUAGCCCACCCCUCCCUGUGGGGGUUAGAUACGACUCCUCUGCUCUCAGCAGCAUCCCUGAGGCAGCAGAGCGAGGAGACCUUGAUGUCUCAGCAGCAACAUCAACGUUCCAGAGUUAUCAGCCCACCAGCUGGAACACUUGCUGCCAGUUCAAGGAGAGCUCCCUGAAGGAAAAAGCCCCAGUAAAAGGAAAAUGGGCUCCA